rnacentral:rRNA from 1 species
UACAGAGGUGGCAAGCGUUGUUCGGAUUUACUGGGCGUAAAGGGUGCGUAGGCGGCGCCGUGUGUCGAAUGUGAAAUCCCACUUUUUAUCGGUGGAACUGCAUUUGAAACUACGGUGCUAGAGUACAGGAGAGGAGAGUGGAAUUCUUGGUGUAGCGGUGAAAUGCGUAGACAUCAAGAGGAACACCGGUGGCGAAGGCGGCUCUCUGGACUGAUACUGACGCUGAGGCACGAAAGCUGGGGGAGCAAACAGGAUUAGAUACCCUGGUAGUCCCAGCCAUAAACGGUGUGCACUUGGUGUAGGUGGCGUUACACCCAUCUGUGCCGGAGCUUACGUGUUAAGUGCACCGCCUGGGGAGUACGGCCGCAAGGCUAAA